AUGCACGAGCACACCCUGGCCAGGGCGUGGGAGGCGACGGUGCGCAAGGUGCAGCAGCAUCCGCAGCCCGGGGGCAGGCGCCGGGUGGCCCCCAUGCUGCCCGCCGACGACUCCGAGACGGCCUCCUCCUCGGCCUCCUCCUCCGCGGGCGUCGACGAUGCCGACCACCACGGUCCGGAGGAGUACGUCGAGCGCGGCCUCCCCAACGGGGACUUCUACACGGGGCAGUGGCGCGCCGGCGCGCCGCACGGCGCCGGGAAGUACCUGUGGAAGGACGGGUGCAUGUACGAGGGGGAGUGGCGGCACGGCAAGGCCACGGGCCGGGGCAAGUUCUCCUGGCCCUCCGGCGCCACCUACGAGGGCGAGUUCAAGGACGGCUUCAUGGACGGCGGCGGCACCUACACCGGCGCCGCCGGGGACACCUACAAGGGAGCCUGGUCCAUGAACCUCAAGCACGGCGACGGCAGGAAGAGCUACGCCAACGGCGACCAGUACGACGGCGAGUGGCGCUCCGGCCUGCAGGACGGCGCCGGCCGCUACAUCUGGCGCAACGGGACCGAGUACACCGGGCAGUGGCGGGCCGGCCUCAUCCACGGCCGCGGCGCGCUCACCUGGGCCAACGGCAACCGCUACGACGGCGGCUGGGAGGACGGCUGCCCGCGCGGCCAGGGCACCUUCCGAUGGGCCGACGGCAGCGUCUACGUCGGCUUCUGGACGCGAGAUGGCCCCAACGGCAUUGUCCAGCAGAAGGGCGUCUACUACCCUUCCCCGGCGGCGUCCUCCCCGACGGCGCGCGACCCCCGCGACGAGUUCGCGAGGGAAUUGCCGGGCUUCAUGGCCGCCGCCGGCGCCCCCGAGUCCACGCCGCUGCAGAGGCCGCUCAACAGCUCGGGCAACCGGACGGCCAAUGGGCGGGCGAGCUCGGUGUCCGGGAUGAGCAAUUGCUCCGGCGGCGACCGGAAGUACGACAAGAUUUGCAUCUGGGAGUCGGACGGCGAUAUCACCUGCGACAUUGUGGACGGGGCCGCCCUGGUCGACGACGCGCGGAGGAGCGUGAGGACGGAGGACGGCGCGGAGGGCGGGGAGCUUCUGCCGCCGCCGUCCCCGGCACCGCGCAUCGCCAAGUGGGUGUCCCCGCGGCAGGCGAAGCAGCAGGGGGAGACCAUCGUCAAGGGGCACAAGCACUACGAGCUCAUGCUCAACUUGCAGCUCGGCAUCAGGCAUGCAGUUGGGAAGCAAGGUCCGGUUACGCUUGAGCUGAAAUCAUCGGCAUUCGAUCCCAAGGAAAAAGUGUGGACAAAGUUCCCUCAGGAAGGCUCGAAACACACUCCGCGGCACAAUUCUUGCGACUUCAGAUGGAAGGAUUACUGCCCACAGGUGUUCCGGACAUUGCGCAAGCUGUUCAAGGUGGAUGCUGCUGACUACAUGUUGUCACUCUGUGGAAGCGAGGCUCUCCGGGAGCUCUCGUCUCCGGGUAAGAGUGGAAGCUUCUUCUACCUAACAAACGAUGACCGGUACAUGAUAAAGACGAUGAAGAAAUCAGAAGUGAAGAUGCUUUUGAAGAUGCUUCCAGCUUACUACAAUCAUGUCCGUGCAUUUGAGGAUACUCUAGUGACCAAAUUUUUUGGUCUACAUUGUGUCAAGUUAGCCGGCGCAAAUCAGAAGAAGGUUCGCUUUGUCAUAAUGGGGAAUCUAUUCUGCUCUCAUAAUUCUAUCCAUAGGCGUUUUGAUCUCAAAGGCUCGUCUCUUGGCCGCACAACUGACAAGCCACAAACUGAAAUUGACCAGUAUACAACUCUGAAAGACCUUGAUCUAAAUUUCAUAUUUAGAUUAAAGAAGCAAUGGUUUCAAGAGUUCCAAAGGCAAGUGGACAGGGAUUGUGAUUUCCUUGAGCAAGAGAAGAUUAUGGAUUACAGUCUCCUGGUGGGGGUACAUUUUAGGCAUAAUGGAGAGAAGCUUAUGACUGAAGGUUGCACUGACAAUGAUACCAACAGUGUAUCAACACUUCGGCUUUCAAGAGGAUACACGGAUCAAUUUCUUGCUGAUCCAAAUGGGAUGUCUAAAAUCAAACUUGGGACAAGUAUGCCUGCAAGAGCAGAACUGACUGCUAGGAAAAAUGACUGCGAGCCGCAGCUCAUUGGAGAGCCAACCGGGGAAUACUACGAUGUUAUACUGUAUUUUGGGAUCAUAGACAUACUCCAAGAUUAUGACAUCAGCAAAAGGCUUGAGCAUGCGUAUAAAUCUUUCCAGUACGACCCGACCUCGAUAUCGGCAGUGGAUCCAAGGCAGUAUUCCAGACGUUUUAAGGAUUUCAUAUACAAAGCAUUUCAAGAGGACAGCUGA
rnacentral:rRNA from 1 species